GACAGAGGAUGCAAGCGUUAUCCGGAAUGAUUGGGCGUAAAGCGUCUGUAGGUGGCUUUUUAAGUCUGCCGUCAAAUCCCAGGGCUUAACCCUGGACAGGCGGUGGAAACUACCAAGCUGGAGUACGGUAGGGGCAGAGGGAAUUUCCGGUGGAGCGGUGAAAUGCGUAGAGAUCGGAAAGAACACCAACGGCGAAGGCACUCUGCUGGGCCGACACUGACGCUCAUGCACGAAAGCGUGGGGAGCAAACAGG
rnacentral:rRNA from 1 species